rnacentral:misc_RNA from 1 species
AGCAGCCGCGGUAAUUCCAGCUCCAAUAGCGUAUAUUAAAGUUGUUGCAGUUAAAAAGCUCGUAGUUGAAUUUCGGGACCAUCAUGUUGGUCGUGCCUCGGUACGUACUGGCAUUGUUGGUUUCUCCCUUCUGACGAACCAUGAUGUCAUUUAUUUGGUGUCGUGGGAAAUCAGGACUGUUACUUUGAAAAAAUUAGAGUGUUUAAAGCAGGCUCACGCUUGAAUACAUUAGCAUGGAAUAAUGAAAUAGGACGUUUGAUUCUAUUUUGUUGGUUUCUAGGAUCGACGUAAUGAUUAAUAGGGAUAGUUGGGGGCAUUAGUAUUCAAUUGUCAGAGGUGAAAUUCUUGGAUUUAUUGAAGACUAACUACUGCGAAAGCAUUUGCCAAGGAUGUUUUCAUUAAUCAAGAACGAAAGUUAGGGGAUCGAAGACGAUCAGAUACCGUCGUAGUCUUAACCAUAAACCUAUGCCGACUAGGGAUCGGAUGAUGUUAAUUUUUUAAUGACUCAUUCGGCGCCUUA